rnacentral:sRNA from 1 species
CUUAGCAUUGAGAGUAAACAUGAGGUUACGAUCCUGGGAGGACUCAAUGAAUUUGUAGUGAAGUUUUAUGGACCACAAGGAACACCAUAUGAAGGCGGAGUAUGGAAAGUUAGAGUGGACCUACCUGAUAAAUACCCUUUCAAAUCUCCAUCUAUAGGAUUCAUGAAUAAAAUUUUCCAUCCCAACAUUGAUGAAGCGUCAGGAACUGUGUGUCUAGAUGUAAUUAAUCAAACUUGGACAGCUCUCUAUGGUGAGUUUGGCCAUGGAAUAUUUUUUGGAGAUGUUGAGACAUUGCCUAAAAAAUGUUGUUUGGCUUUUCUUUUCUGGUUUAAGAUGUUUUGUUGGUAAUGGGAAGGGAUUUUUGAGGGACCGACUGGGAAAGUUUGAUCAGUGGAAAAAAUAUUUUCUCUUAAGUACAAAUAUAUCAGUUUAACUGUGGAAGUUUAAAAUGAUUUUUUGAGAUUCCAAACUUAAGGUAUAGUGAUACAUGUGCACACACAUGAAUACAUGUGCAAACAUUUUAUAUGUAUGUACUCGAAGCACAUAAUAUAUACAUAUUUUGGUUUUGGAAAAAACUAGAACUACUUAGGAAUGUCCCUCUGAAAUGAGAGAGAAAUGAUAUAGUAAGAGGUUUUAGGGGAUCAUCUUUUCAAAGGCCAAAACCUCCUUAUGAAGGAAGAGUAAUUUAGCCUUACCUUCAGUGCUGAAAUUGACACCCCAUCUCUUACAGGGAAUCAACAAAUGAAUUGCCCAGCUCUGCAAAAUACUAU